rnacentral:lncRNA from 1 species
GAAAGAACAAAGUGACACAAUAAAAUAUAGAUCGAGUGGCAUAAAGAAUGAGUAAAGUUAAAGAACAAUGAUUGCUAGAGUUAGCAAAAUAAAGUAAUGUAAAGAACACUAGAGUUAGUGUGUGGCAUCAAAGAGAAAUGUGACGCAAAGAACGAUGAAAAUGAGUAGAGACAAGUAAAGAAAAUGAAAGUGGCAUAAAGAACGAGUAAAGUUAAAGAACAAUGAUUGCUAGAGUUAGCAAAAUAAAGUGAUAUAAAGAACA